rnacentral:rRNA from 1 species
AUUGAACGCUGGCGGCAGGCCUAACACAUGCAAGUCGAACGGUAGCACAGAGAGCUUGCUCUUGGGUGACGAGUGGCGGACGGGUGAGUAAUGUCUGGGAAACUGCCCGAUGGAGGGGGAUAACUACUGGAAACGGUAGCUAAUACCGCAUAAUGUCGCAAGACCAAAGAGGGGGACCUUCGGGCCUCUUGCCAUCGGAUGUGCCCAGAUGGGAUUAGCUUGUUGGUGAGGUAAUGGCUCACCAAGGCGACGAUCCCUAGCUGGUCUGAGAGGAUGACCAGCCACACUGGAACUGAGACACGGUCCAGACUCCUACGGGAGGCAGCAGUGGGGAAUAUUGCACAAUGGGCGCAAGCCUGAUGCAGCCAUGCCGCGUGUGUGAAGAAGGCCUUCGGGUUGUAAAGCACUUUCAGCGGGGAGGAAGGCAAUGCGGUUAAUAACCGCGUUGAUUGACGUUACCCGCAGAAGAAGCACCGGCUAACUCCGU